UCCAAGUUACAUCUCAAAUCCCAACUUAACCCAUUAUAUUUCCAAUUCUAAAAAUCCCAAAUUUCCUUUCAAACUUAGUCACGUUGCAUUCACAAAUUUUCCAAGACAUUCAAAUUUAAAUCAUUUUUACAACACACUUCAUGUUCAACCAAGUUACAAUGGUAACUUCCCAUUACAUUCAUGACCAUUUCCAAAUGCAUUUAUCAUAUGAUACAUCUCAUAACAAACCAUCCAUACAUGGUAAGACAAGUGAGAGUUAGACUUAAACUUUGUUCUUCAUUACAUAAGCACGACCAUAAGUGAAUCAUCUCAUGAAACAUUCUCAUUUUACACACAUAAAACCAUUCUACAUAAACUAAUCCAUCUCCAGAUGACUAUUACAUCAUUACAUGCUACAUGAUUCACAUGUUACAUAGCUUGUGUCGAAAGGAAAAAGAAAAAUCUGGGAGUUUUGUAGACCUUUCCAUGAUGCUUCCACAAUCUAUAUGCUUGGACGAACUCACUUUGUGGCAUGUGCUUCCAUUAGGUCAUUUUGGGCCUACAAUCGGCAUUCACAAAAUCAGUCCAUGACAGAGCAGUAACAGCAGAAAAAGGAAGAAAAUGGAAGCUGCUAAGUUAAAGCAAAUCAUGAUUCCUGAAGCCAGAAUUUGACAAAGGGCAUAUCACACAAAGCCAAACCAAUAAGCUUCACAAAGCCACAAAGUACAAAGCCACACCAGCUGCUAUGUACCAAGAGCGCCAAAAAAGAAACAGAAAAAUGAAUUGAAAGCUGCCAAAGCUACAAACUAAAACAGAGUUGUAGCUUCAAGACGCUACACAAGCUGCUACAUCCAAAACUCACAAGCCAUGACUUUACCGCAGCAGAACCCCUUUACAAAACCUGCACAAAUUCAAAACAAAUAAUUCUAAGAAAAUAAUCACAACACCUAUAACCGAAUGAGAAUUAACCAAAGAGAACGGAACCGUCAAAACAGAAAUUUCCAAGGUUACAACAAAUAUUCUGUACUGAUUCUUACAAAUUUCAAGGACUUGCAACAUAUUUUCUUCCAAAAAAAUACUGAUAUGGAAGAACUAACCUUUGUUCGCUUCCUUCACUCACAUAACUUUCACAACCUCCCAUAACCGCCUCAUAACAGAAUAACUAACUCCACAGGAUAGAAAUCCAACUUCAAACACCUUCAGAACCUAUUUUCCUCAUUCUCUAACUGUCUUCAACCAACCUAAACUCUAACAGAAUUCAACAAACUCUAACUACUUCCAACUGUCAUAACCAACCAUCUCUCUAACCUUACUCUCCUAUAAGAACCAUCCUCCAUCUUCAAUUCAAGCUCUCCAUCAUCUUUCCCAUAAUUCAACAAUUCACCAAUCAUACACCCUCUC
rnacentral:lncRNA from 1 species